GGAGAGAUGGCAGAGUGGUCGAAUGCGGCGGUCUUGAAAACCGCUAGGGGCGCAAGUUCCUCGGGGGUUCGAAUCCCUCGCCCUCCGCCA
rnacentral:tRNA from 1 species